rnacentral:tRNA from 1 species
GGAGGGGUGGUCGAGUGGUUGAUGGCUCCAGUCUUGAAAACUGGCGAGGUGAAAGCCUCCGUGGGUUCGAAUCCCACCCCCUCCGCCA